rnacentral:lncRNA from 1 species
GUGGUUCCUCCACCACGUUCUCCUGGAGAAACCAACUCCUGGGUGGACUCUGGUGGGAUGGUUGGGCCAGAGAGGUGGUGGUGGGGAAUGGAGAUGACUCCAGUUGGUCACUGGUGGGGAAUGGAGAUGACUCCAGUUGGUCACUGGUGGUGAAUGGAGGUGAUUCCAGUUGGUCACUGGUGGUGGUGAAUGGAGAUGACUCCAGUUGGUCACUGGUGGGGAAUGGAGAUGACUCCAGUUGGUCACCAGUGUCCCCGGUGGUUGGUGUCCCUGGUGGUGUCCCCAGGGCUUGGUGUUGAGGGAAUGAUCCCUCAGGACCUUCAAGGAACCACCAUGGAAUCAGAAGGUCUUCUAGGUUGGCCUUUUGGGUGGGAGCGUUGAUCUGCUGGAGGGUGGGAAGGUCCUACUGGAGGGUGGGAAGGUUCUACUGGAGGGUUGGAAGGUUCUACUGGAGGGUGGGAAGGUCCUACUGGAGGGUGAGAAGGAUCUACUGGAGGGUGAGAAGGAUCUACUGGAGGGUGGGAAGGAUCUACUGGAGGAUGGGAAGGUCCUACAGAAAGGUCUGGCCAGGUUGGCUGGAUGGGAUGAAGCCAACGGUGGGAGGUUCACCAUGGCCAACUGUUGGGUCCUGCCCCUUGGGUGACACCAGGCUGGGGGAGGAGUGGCUGGAAAAGGAGCUGGGGGUGACCAGGAGCCAACGGUGUCCCCCAGUUGGUCAAGGUGGCCACCAGCAUCUUGGCCUUGUGUCAGGAACGGCGUGGCCAACGUGGGGCAAUGAGAGUCCCCUUGUGCUCGGUACUGGUGAGGUCCCACCUCCAGUGGUGGGUCCAGUUUUUGGGCCGGUCACUCUGGGAGGGACGUUGAGGGGCUGGAACGUGUCCAGAGAAGGACCCCAAAGCCUCCUGAGGGGGGUGGAGAUGGAGGAGAAAGGGGCUGGAGACCAAGGAGGGGUUCAGACCGAGGAGAAGGGGCUGGAGAUGGAGAAGGAGAUGGAGAUGAAGGUUCUGGAGACCAAGAAGUGGUUCAGACCAAGGAGAAAGGGCUGGAGAUGGAGGAGAAGGAGAUGGAGAUGGAGGAGAAGGAGAUGGAGAUGGAGGAGAAGGUUCUGGAGACCAAGAAGUGGUUCAGACCAAGGAGAAAGGGCUGGAGAUGGAGGAGGAGAUGGAGAUGAUGGAGAUGGAGCUGGAGGAGAAGGUUCUGGAGAACUUCUGAGGAGCACCUGAGGGAAGGGGGGGUGGCCUCCCCAUCCCUGGAGCUCUCUGAAGGUCUCCGAAGCCGGGGGAGAUGCCUCCAGGUGCCACCUCCCUGGUUCCUCCUCCUCCCCUCGUCCCUCCCUCAUCCCCCAGAGCUUCCUCCCACCCUGGACCCCCCCA